AACCGCCGUGUACCGAACGGUACGCACGGUGGUGUGAGAGGUCGGGAUUUCUACUCAGAAAUCCCUCCUACUCGAU
rnacentral:misc_RNA from 1 species